rnacentral:rRNA from 1 species
UACAGAGGGUGCGAGCGUUGUUCGGAAUUACUGGGCGUAAAGGGCGCGUAGGCGGCACGACAAGUCGGGAGUGAAAGCCCGGGGCUCAACCCCGGAGGGUCUCUCGAAACUGUCGAGCUAGAGUGCGGAAGAGGCAAUCGGAAUUCCCAGUGUAGCGGUGAAAUGCGUAGAUAUUGGGAAGAACACCGGAGGCGAAGGCGGGUGCUGGGCCGACACUGACGCUGAGGCGCGAAAGCCAGGGGAGCAAACGGGG